rnacentral:lncRNA from 1 species
AUGAAGAGCUGGAGCCCCUGGCCAGAUGUCCACUGGGAACUUCUGUGCUGUCCUUCAGCCUGGCUCUGGAGUCACUGCAGCCUCCAAGGCCAUCACAGUACACGAAAGAAGCCAGAUCAUCACUGUGGAAGUGUGAGGAGGCCUUUCUCCAUGGCCGGCAUCCCUGCUCGCUCUUCUCAGAAGAGGGCCGGGGUGAGUCAACAGGGCUGGGUCACACAGUACAGUACUUGAUUUGUCUCAACUAUUUUUUCAAGGGAAUUUAAAAACGUAAACCAUUCACUCACUACUCACAGGAAGCUCCCCAGCCACUCCCUCCCUCUCAGCACUCAGAAACGGAAUCUUGUUUUCUGAUGACAAGAAAGAGGAGGAGGCUGGUUAGUCUGAAGGGCAUAGGGCCUGGGCCUAGGAUAAACAGCAAGUUCCCUUAUGGCAAAGGCACUAGGCGUUUCUCUGAGUAUGUACGCCUUUGUCUUACCAUUGGCUUUUAAAGCAAACAACAUAUAUACCUCUCCUUUAAAACUGCAUGUAUCUCAUUGAUUCAUCCAGUUCAGGGGGUUCCCCUCUUCACACUGACAAGAACAAGCAGACAGAAUGAGCAAGCAUGCAGUCCUGAUCGUGGAGCUGUGUAGAGCAGACACUGGUCUGCUUUCUAUGUACACAGAUGCAAUUGCCUCUGAGGUCUAGCAGUUUUGGUUUGGGAUACAUAUGCUAGAAGCCUUUCACACGUGUAUAGGGAUAUAUGCCGACAGCAGCACAGUUCACCACUGCCACAAUCUGGAAAACAGAGCAAGGGGACAACACUCCACGGCAAUGACGACAAAUGGCCUAGACUGUGUGUGCAUGCACGGAUGUAUAGCUCAACCACAACACUGAACGAAAGGGAGACUACAAUUAUAUUUUUUAUAAAACAGGCAACUAUAUUGGUUCAGGCAUGCUCGUGAAAUCAGAGGAAGUGACUGACAUAAAAGGAUGCUAGUGACCUCUGGGAACUUAGGAGUAUGAGACAGCCACGCCUGGAGUACAGCUUGGUUGUUACAUGGGUGUGUACUUUAUAACCAUUUAAUUACACCUGGUAUUUAUAAUUUACACACACUUUACAAGUUAGUACAAUAAAAUAAAUAGUUGCUAUUAAGAUAAAAUCA